rnacentral:rRNA from 1 species
UGCAAGUCGAACGGCACCCCUCUCCGGAGGGAAGCGAGUGGCGAACGGCUGAGUAACACGUGGAGAACCUGCCCCCUCCCCCGGGAUAGCCGCCCGAAAGGACGGGUAAUACCGGAUACCCCCGGGCGCCGCAUGGCGCCCGGGCUAAAGCCCCGACGGGAGGGGAUGGCUCCGCGGCCCAUCAGGUAGACGGCGGGGUGACGGCCCACCGUGCCGACAACGGGUAGCCGGGUUGAGAGACCGACCGGCCAGAUUGGGACUGAGACACGGCCCAGACUCCUACGGGAGGCAGAAUG